AGGUGGUGCGCGGGCACUGGCGGCUGCUCCUGCUCACGGCGGGGGCCCUGGCGGUGGGGUACGCGGUGUUCUACGCGGUGUCCACCUG
rnacentral:tRNA from 1 species